rnacentral:tRNA from 1 species
UAUAUUUUGAUGUAAUGAGGCAUAUAAUUUUUUGAUAAUUAAUGUAAAGUUUAAUUCUUUAAAUAUAA